AUGGUGUGUCCGAGGUGCUGCCUCGGCCAAAUUCGUUCAAUGGCAAUGGCUUCAUCUCUUGUUGCUACGGGAGUGCCGGAGGCAGAUGCCAUGCGUUGGAGUCAUGCUCAGGGGAUGCGUUGGUAUUACCUUGAAAAAGAAAAUUCCAAGCCACGUGCGCGCGCAAUAUUCACUUAUAAUCAGUUCUGGAAAUCGCCAAAGAAAAUGCCUACCGUCCUGCAGAAUGCCAGCAUGUGGGUUGCGGUUGCGUGCAUGCUAUCUAACAAUGUUCAGCCGUACGUUGGCACGUACCGAUCAAUGUAUUAA
rnacentral:rRNA from 1 species